UUUCCGUAGGUGAACCUGCGGAAGGAUCAUUAUUGUAUAACCGAGGUGCGAGGGCUGUCGCUGACCCGAAAGGUCGUGCACGCCCGAGUGCCCUCACACACAUCCAUCUCACCCCUAUGUGCACCACCGCGUGGGUCACCCUUUGGCUUGUUCGGAGGGGGGCUUACGUUUUCACACAAACUUUGUAUGCAGUGUAGAAUGUAUUUUUUGUUUUUGCGAUCACGCAAUCAAUACAACUUUCAACAACGGAUCUCUUGGCUCUC
rnacentral:misc_RNA from 1 species